rnacentral:rRNA from 1 species
CCCUUAGAUGUUCUGGGCUGCACGCGCGCUACACUGAUGCGCUCAACGAGUUUUAACCUUGCCUGGAAAGGUUGGGUAAUCUUUUUAAAACGCAUCGUGAUGGGGAUAGAUUAUUGCAAUUAUUAAUCUUCAACGAGGAAUUCCUAGUAAGCGCGAGUCAUCAGCUCGUGCUGAUUACGUCCCUGCCCUUUGUACACACCGCCCGUCGCUCCUACCGAUCGAAGAGUUAGGAGAAUUGUUUUGAUCGAUAAGAUUUGACUAUGGUCAACUCUCGUUGUGAAAUUCUGUGAAUCUGACUGUUUAGAGGAAGGAAAAGUCGUAACA